GAUGAACGCUGGCGGCGUGCCUAAUACAUGCAAGUCGAGCGAACAGACGAGGAGCUUGCUCCUCUGACGUUAGCGGCGGACGGGUGAGUCACACGUGGAUAACCUCCCUAUAAGACUGGUAUAACUUCGGGAAACCGGAGCUAAUACCAGAUGAUAUAUUGAAGCGCAGGGUUCAAUGGAGAGAGUCGGUUUUGGUGGAACUUAUAGCGGGAUCCGCGCCGCAUUAGCUAGUUGGUAAGGUCACGGCUUACCAAGGCAACGAUGCGUAGCCGACCUGAGGGGGUGAUCGGCCACACUGGAACUGAGACACGGUCCAGACUCCUACGGGAGGCAGCAGUAGGGAAUCUUCCGCAAUGGGCGAAAGCCUGACGGAGCAACGCCGCGUGAGUGAUGAAGGUCUUCGGAGCGUAAAACUCUGUUAUUAGGGAAGAACAAAUGUGUAAGUAACUAUGCACGUCUUGACGGUACCUAAUCAGAAAGCCACGGCUAACUACGUG
rnacentral:rRNA from 1 species